AGUGCGACUUAGAACUUCGCCGGGAGCUUGCAAAAAUUUCUCGGAAAGAAAUGAGACCCCCGGUCUCAGAGAGGAGGAAAACUCGUCCCAGAGUACAUCGCACUUCCGGGAACUCCGGUAAUCCUUUGGACCGUUAACAAUUAGCUUCGUUAUUCUCGGAGGCUAGAAACCGCUAGUCUCUGCUCCUGUCGCACAAAAAUUUUUGCAAGCCAUAAUUCGCAACCAAGAAUCGCACGUUUGCCCAGCCGGAGUUAAACGUCCAGUCGAAAUGCAAGUCAGUCGCAGUUCGGGUUUCUCGGUGCCGACUUCGAGUCGCUUAUGCAGCAGUCGUUUAUAAAGAUGUUCGCUGGAACCGGAAACCGGAAGCCGUGCGUGAAAAUCUCCGUUGUGAUAAUGUGAUAACGCGAUUAGUGCCAGAAAAUCGAUCAAAUUUUUUCAAAACUCCAGUGCAGUGCGGUGAAGUGAGGUUCGCGAAUUUCUCCCGCGGCUGCUGCAACCGCGUGCAGAUUACUGCACGAGAUCGGAUUAGGUCACCGCUAUUUUAGCUUGGCCAGCUCGUAAACAAAUCCGGAAGUAAACAAAAUUACCUGAGAAUCCGAGAUGUAGAAAGCAACGAUGGCCCCGAAAAAGAAGCCCGACCGCAAAACUCCGAAGACCCGACCUUACAAAGUCUACUUGAUUUGCCUCGGAUCGUUGAAAACUUCUGGACCUGGGUCAGCUGUGUGGGCUUAGAGUCUUAAGCUCAGGAUUAAUCGCAAAAUAUACAGACUUGACACCAGUUCGUAACAUUUUUGUCCAUGAUGAAAAAUUGUUUGAUUAAUUAAUAAACGUUUGUAAAUUGUA